UGGGGAAUAUUGCACAAUGGAGGGAACUCUGAUGCAGCGACGCCGCGUGAACGAAGAAGGCUUUCGAGUCGUAAAGUUCUUUUAUAUGGGAAGAUAAUGACGGUACCAUAAGAAAAAGCCCCGGCUAACUACGUGCCAGCAGCCGCGGUAAUACGUAGGGGGCUAGCGUUGUCCGGAAUCACUGGGCGUAAAGGGUUCGCAGGCGGUCAAUUAAGUCUGAUGUGAAAGCCCCCGGCUCAACCGGGGAGGGUCAUUGGAAACUGGUUGACUUGAGUGCAGAAGAGGAGAGUGGAAUUCCAUGUGUAGCGGUGAAAUGCGUAGAUAUAUGGAGGAACACCAGUGGCGAAGGCGACUCUCUGGUCUGUAACUGACGCUGAGGCUCGAAAGCGUGGGUAGCAAACAGG
rnacentral:rRNA from 1 species